rnacentral:tRNA from 2 species
GGGGACGUGGCGGAAUGGUAGACGCAGCGGCCUUAAAAGCCGCAGCCGCAAGGCGUGUGGGUUCGAGUCCCACCGUCCCUACCA